AACGAACGCUGGCGGCAUGCCUAACACAUGCAAGUCGAACGAGACCUUCGGGUCUAGUGGCGCACGGGUGCGUAACGCGUGGGAACCUGCCCUUAGGUUCGGAAUAACUCCCCGAAAGGGGUGCUAAUACCGGAUAAUGUCUUCGGACCAAAGAUUUAUCGCCUUUGGAUGGGCCCGCGUUGGAUUAGCUAGUUGGUAGGGUAAAAGCCUACCAAGGCGACGAUCCAUAGCUGGUCUGAGAGGAUGAUCAGCCACACUGGGACUGAGACACGGCCCAGACUCUUACGGGAGGAGGCAGUGGGGAUAUUGGACAAUGGGCGAAAGCCUGAUCCAGCAAUGCCGCGUGAGUGAUGAAGGCCUUAGGGUUGUAAAGCUCUUUUACCCGGGAUGAUAAUGACAGUACCGGGAGAAUAAGCUCCGGCUAACUCCGUG
rnacentral:rRNA from 1 species